rnacentral:snoRNA from 2 species
GCGACCUUACUUGAACAGGAUCUGUUCUAUAGGCUCGUACCGUUGCAUCCUUUACCAGUACAUGUUUUAAAUGCUAGUUGCUGCAAAGGUUCAAGCUGGUAA